AAGGGUCACUUAUAGAUAGGUUGCAGUAGGCGUGGCCAAUCAUUACGUCCGCCAUGUUGGAGUACAACUCGGAGUACAAGAGCUAAUGAGCUGGAACAGAAACGCUGAUUGAUUGACCUAGGUAGCUGCGGCAGUGAGAGAAAAAAA